AUUUCUUCAGGGAGAAAAUGGCUUCUUUUUGUGCUGUUUUGGUUUACAAUCUUGUGUUCCUCCUAGUGUCGACUGUUUCUGCGUCUAUGGAUGACACAAGUGUCGUUGGCUCUGCUUUCCCUUCUUUAGAGAUUGGAGUUCUUACGGAUACACCCUUCAAAUGUGACUCUGAGACCGGCGUCUACACGUCUAAGACAUCCGCUUGCAUUAUGCACAUCCUGUUUGACUUAUUGUUUUGGCUCACGCGAUGCAUUGGGUACCACCUUACUUGACUACAAGUGCUCAUUUAUUCCACCGAGUGGAAAAAUGCAAUGCGACUGCUGUUCUCAAAAACCCACACCUCCACCACCCCCACCAUGUUCCCCUCCUCCACCUUCAGGCGGUCAGUGUGAUACCGGAGACGACGUCACUGAGACUAGAUUUCAAGCUCAGAUUGCGUCGAUUGUACAAAUUGGUGCAGCCAAGAUUGUUCGGAGUUAGGAGGUCGUGUGAUUGAGAACAAGUGUGCGAUUGGUGAAUCUAAAUUUGUAAGGCGUUGCAAGUGUUGUUGUCGUGGAGGAAACUCUGGUCUAAAGUUGUCCUAGUUUCCCUUCCGAUGCAACAUGGGCCAUCUAUACCAAGUCUUGGACCAUGCUAAUAGAAGUUAUAGUCGUCGGGAUCCUUACUACUGGCAUCUUCAUCAUCAUCCAUAUAUCAUCGUAAUAUCGAGCGGAUCCAUCAAGCCACUCUUCUUUCUUUCUUUUUUUGUCUUUUUUUUUGAUUGGUUAGCACUCUUAGCCUUAUAUUUAGGCUUCUUUUAAAUGUAGCCUAUGCUUUUAU